rnacentral:lncRNA from 1 species
CUUAUUUGGCUUAAUUAGUGCCUUGCAUGUGUUAAUCUAGUGUUUGAUUGAUGAUUUGUGAAAAGAAAAUGAAUUUUUGGCCUAGCCAUGAAACUUUCGAAUUUUUGGGGAAAAAAUGCUUAAAUUGCUUAUUUGGUUUAUUUGCUAUCUUUUAUGUAUUGAUCUUGUGUUGAUUGUUGUUUUAAGGCCUUGCAUGUUAAGAUUUGGUGAUUGAUUGUUGAUCUAAGGUCUUGCAUGUUAAGAUCUAGUGAUUG